CAAUUGAUGGUAAGCACGUUGCUAUUAAGUGCCCGGCCAAUUCCAAUUCGAUGUUCUACAAUUAUGAAAAAUUAUUUAUCAUCAUUUUUUUGGCUCUAUGUGAUACGAAAUAUACGUUCACAGCAGUUAGUAUUGGCAGCUAUGGAAGUCAAAGUGACGGAGGAAUCUUUCGAUUUACUCCAUUUCGUCAUGCAUUAAUACAAAACACUCUGACUUUGCCACCACAUGUGCCACUGUCUGACGUGUCACCCGAAUCAUUUCCUUACUUUUUCGUUGGAGAUGCUGCAUUCCCAUUACGAAGUAAUUUAAUGUGCCCGUUUCCCGGAGCUAAUCUAACACACACGAAACGCCUUUUCAAUUAUCGAUUGUCACGCGUUCGUAUAGUCAUAGAAAAUUCCUUUGGUAUAUUGACUGCCCGAUGGAGAAUUUUGAAAACAACGAUUGAAUGUAAUCCAGAAAAUUGUGAAAAAAUUGUGUUGGCUUACUUGUAGUUCGAGUGGAAGGACAUAACAUUGUUCAUGCCGGUGAGUGGCGCAGCGAAAAUUAAAACAACUCUUUACGACCAAUGCGAACUUAGGUGCGUAGAGGUCCUUCAAAUGCGUUUAACUUACGGCAGGGACAUGAAGAGGGAAGUGAGAGCAAUGUAUUUUAACACACCAUGUUUACAAAUGAGAGCGCCCGCUUAUAUGGGAAGUUGAACUGUGGGUAAUAACUGUAAAAUUGCCUAACAAUUUUAAGUUUCUUUCUAAUUACUAUAAAUUUAUGAAAUGUAAGACAAAUAACAAAAAGUAUAAUAAAUAUUUUAUUUUAGUAA